AAGCAAAUAGCUUAGUGGAUAAAGCGUAUGUUUCCGAAACACACAGAGGUGGGUUCAAGUCCCACUUUGCUUA
rnacentral:tRNA from 1 species